rnacentral:rRNA from 1 species
CAUGGCUGUCGUCAGCUCGUGUCGUGAGAUGUUGGGUUAAGUCCCGCAACGAGCGCAACCCUCGUCCUUAGUUGCCAUCAUUAAGUUGGGCACUCUAAGGAAACCGCCGGUGAUAAGCCGGAGGAAGGUGGGGAUGACGUCAAGUCCUCAUGGCCCUUACACGCUGGGCUACACACGUGCUACAAUGGCGGUGACAGUGAGCAGCUAACUCGCGAGAGUGUGCUAAUCUCCAAAAGCCGUCUCAGUUCGGAUUGUUCUCUGCAACUCGAGAGCAUGAAGGCGGAAUCGCUAGUAAUAAGCGGAUCAGCAUGCCGCGGUGAAUACGUUCCCAGGCCUUGUACACACCACCCGUCACACCAUGGGAGUUGGUUUCACCCGAAGGCAGUGCGCUAACCGCAAGGAGGCAGCUGACCACGGUGGGAUCAGCGACUGGGGUGAAGUCGUAACAAGGUAACCA